rnacentral:lncRNA from 1 species
AUGAAACUUGUUCCUGACACGGGAGUGUAUGACCCAUCUGCUAUACGGACAUUAUCUCCUUCAGUACAAGAAGAAUAGGUUAAGAAUUCUUUAUAAGAGUCUAUCAUGUGUCUGUUACCUUCAGAGUUUAUGAUCCAAUUAUCAGGAGUGGAAAUAGGAUGAACAAUACCUGAUUUUACCAUAUUUGAUGUGCUAACAGUUGAUG